rnacentral:lncRNA from 1 species
CGAGUGUUGCAUAUCCCCUAAUUCUGAGCUCCCUACUUCUGCUAUUAAAAGACAGGAUUUCCCCUUCCAAAUCUUUUUCAACUUAGCAGCUACUCAAAUACUUAAGACGGCAUAAUCCAGUGCAGUCAUUCCAUAAUUUCAAACGCCUACACCAAGAUCAAGAAUCCCAGAAGGCAAUUCAUCAGGCAACAGAAGUAGACAAAAAGAAAAAGAAAGAACCCAUUGCUUACUUUGUGACGGCUUUAGAAGGACAUCUCGCAAUGAACCCAUAAAUUAUCUGCACUACACUCUGAAACCCCUUAAUUAGGAUGAGAACCGAAGAACCAAAGAAAAAUGGGAACUUGCAGUUGAACAGCUGACUCCACAAAGCAAAAGCGAAUGAAACUAAGAUCGUAAUCUACGCGAUUCGACAUUCGUGUGAUGGACAUCAGGGAGUUUUGGAGCUGAGACGAGCGAGGGUUCAGCGUCUGGAUGGUGAGCGAGAUCAGUCACUGUGAAUUGCGAAGAUGGAAAAACUAGAAAUGGUGGAGGGGAAGGAAGGAAACGGAACGAAAGUGAAUUGAAACUGUUGACCCUGCACAAGAAAUUACAAAAGAAAUUAUAUGUAUAUAUAUAGAGAUUACCCCCUUCCAUUCUUUCACUCUUUCAGUUGUCCACUCCCUUCUUUUAUGCU